GCCUUGCUGGCUCAGUUGGUAGAGCAUUCAACUUUUGAUCCCAGGGUCGUGAGUUUGAACCUCACAUUGGGCA
rfam:Felis catus isolate Cinnamon breed Abyssinian chromosome D2, whole genome shotgun sequence.